rnacentral:rRNA from 1 species
CCUACGGGAGGCAGCAGUGAGGAAUAUUGGUCAAUGGACGAGAGUCUGAACCAGCCAAGUCGCGUGAAGGAAGACUGCCCUAUGGGUUGUAAACUUCUUUUAUCUGGGAAUAAAACAGGGUACGCAUACCCUCUUGUAUGUACCAUAUGAAUAAGGAUCGGCUAACUCCGUGCCAGCAGCCGCGGUAAUACGGAGGAUGCGAGCGUUAUCCGGAUUUAUUGGGUUUAAAGGGUGCGUAGGCGGAAUGCCAAGUCAGCGGUAAAAUUGCGGGGCUCAACCGCGCUGCGCCGUUGAAACUGGCGUUCUUGAGUGGGCGAGAAGUAUGCGGAAUGCGCGGUGUAGCGGUGAAAUGCAUAGAUAUCGCGCAGAACUCCGAUUGCGAAGGCAGCGUACCGGCGCCCAACUGACGCUGAAGCACGAAAGCGUGGGGAUCGAACAGGAUUAGAUACCCGGGUAGUC